rnacentral:piRNA from 1 species
UNCUAAGGUAUACCCAUGUCUGGCUAAAGGU